AUUCAGGUAGCUUAUUUAAAGCUUAACAUUGAAGCUGUUAGGAAGAUUUCAGAAUCUCUGAAUA
rnacentral:tRNA from 1 species